AGGGGCAUCAGGAAGAAGCUUGCUUUCUUUGCUGGCGACCGGCGCACGGGUGAGUAACACGUAUCCAACCUGCCCUUUACUCGGGGAUAGCCUUUCGAAAGAAAGAUUAAUACCCGAUAGCAUAAUGAUUCCGCAUGGUUUCAUUAUUAAAGGAUUCCGGUAAAGGAUGGGGAUGCGUUCCAUUAGGUUGUUGGUGAGGUAACGGCUCACCAAGCCUUCGAUGGAUAGGGGUUCUGAGAGGAAGGUCCCCCACAUUGGAACUGAGACACGGUCCAAACUCCUACGGGAGGCAGCAGUGAGGAAUAUUGGUCAAUGGGCGCUAGCCUGAACCAGCCAAGUAGCGUGAAGGAUGAAGGCUCUAUGGGUCGUAAACUUCUUUUAUAUAAGAAUAAAGUGCAGUAUGUAUACUGUUUUGUAUGUAUUAUAUGAAUAAGGAUCGGCUAACUCCGUGCCAGCAGCCGCGGUAAUACGGAGGAUCCGAGCGUUAUCCGGAUUUAUUGGGUUUAAAGGGAGCGUAGGUGGACUGGUAAGUCAGUUGUGAAAGUUUGCGGCUCAACCGUAAAAUUGCAGUUGAUACUGUCAGUCUUGAGUACAGUAGAGGUGGGCGGAAUUCGUGGUGUAGCGGUGAAAUGCUUAGAUAUCACGAAGAACUCCGAUUGCGAAGGCAGCUCACUGGACUGCAACUGACACUGAUGCUCGAAAGUGUGGGUAUCAA
rnacentral:rRNA from 1 species